GUAUUGAAAUACGCUACACUGUCAACUUUGAAACUGAAGAGUUUACACCAUCACAGUGUGACUCAUGCCAUCUUAAUUCUGAUCCGAAGACAAAGCCUGGGUAUUUGAAAUGCAGAGAGUGCUAGCAACGUUACUUCCUGGAACUAACACCUGAAGAUUCUAGUUUGGACAAUAAACACCAUCUUUAAUGCUUUGCUAUAGGAGUGUAGUAUUGAACUGAAUUUACACCAUUAUGACAAAUCAACUAUAGCAGUGGGCCACUUUAUGCCUUGAGCUGUAUGUCUUCGUUCUGGUGGGAACUGCAUCCUUGUGAAGGAGAGAUGGAAAGAGGUGGAUACAGGAAGAAGAGAAUGUAUUGCUUUGUUUAAACUUACAGUUCACACAGCACUUGUUUUC